rnacentral:lncRNA from 1 species
AAAUCCUUUGUUACACCUGCUGCAAGUUUAAAAUGUAUGAUAAGCACAUGUUCAAAAACUAAUACACUGAGAAAACACAAUAGUAAAUGAGUUAUACCUGUUUGUAAGAACUAAAGAGUUAUCAACACAUCUGCUAAUGUAUCAGUUUAAUAGCACAUAAUCGAAACGAUGGCUAGAUUGCAGGACACCAAAGCAAUGGUUGGCUUUUACUUUACUUCAUUUUUCAUCAGGUCAUGAGUAAAAUGCAGCUGCAACAUGCGUUUGUACUAAAAACACACACCUUUGUCAAAAUCCCAAGGGAUAGCUUUCAGAUGAACCAAACUAGCAUUUAAAAUAUGGUUAAGCCCCAGAUUGAAGACCUUCAACUUUUUAAGAUCUACAAAGCAGCAACAUACAAUAAAGAAAAACCUAAGCAAAGUGCAUUAAGGAACCAUGCUGACUUUAACAACGAAGGUACACAUCUAGCCUAGGAGCCGGCACCUCGCUCAAGGAAAGUCAGAGGCAGAAAACAUCACUCUGGAGGGGGA